AAGUCGUAACAAGGUUUCCGUAGGUGAACCUGCGGAAGGAUCAUUAUCACGUAUCCACGUAUAAACCAUCGUGAACCCUUUUUUGCCUUUAAGGAAGGUUGACAGUGGGAGAGGAAGCACAUGAACUCUUUCUUGUGAUUUAAAGUUCGCUACCGCUCUCCGAGUGCUUUCACGGCUCUCGUUAACCUUUCUUGAAGUGUAUUUUUUAAAUCGCUAUUCAAUUAACAAUUUGAACAAACCUUUAAACUACGAACUGAUCUAUUUCUUACUCACCUUCGGGGGAGAAGAAAUUCAUUACGAAACAAAGAACAACUCUUAGCAACGGAUAUCUUGGUUCUC
rnacentral:misc_RNA from 1 species